rnacentral:rRNA from 1 species
UACGGAGGGGGCUAGCGUUAUUCGGAAUUACUGGGCGUAAAGCGCACGUAGGCGGAUCUGCAAGUCAGAGGUGAAAUCCCAGGGCUCAACCUUGGAACUGCCUUUGAAACUGCGGGUCUUGAGUUCGAGAGAGGUGAGUGGAAUUCCGAGUGUAGAGGUGAAAUUCGUAGAUAUGCGGAGGAACACCGAUGGCGAAGGCAAUCCCCUGGACCUGUACUGACGCUCAUGCACGAAAGCGUGGGGAGCAAACAGG